rnacentral:rRNA from 1 species
UGGGGAAUAUUGCACAAUGGGCGCAAGCCUGAUGCAGCAACGCCGCGUGAACGAUGAAGGUCUUCGGAUCGUAAAGUUCUGUUGCAGGGGAAGAUAAUGACGGUACCCUGUGAGGAAGCCCCGGCUAACUACGUGCCAGCAGCCGCGGUAAUACGUAGGGGGCUAGCGUUAUCCGGAUUUACUGGGCGUAAAGGGUGCGUAGGUGGUCUUUCAAGUCGGUGGUUAAAGGCUACGGCUCAACCGUGGAGGGUCAUUGGAAACUAAUAAACUUGAGUGCAGGAGAGAAAAGUGGAAUUCCUAGUGUAGCGGUGAAAUGCGUAGAGAUUAGGAGGAACACCGGUGGCGAAAGCGGCUUUUUGGCCUGCAACUGACACUGAGGCGCGAAAGCGUGGGGAGCAAACAGG